AGCAGCCGCGGUAAUUCCAGCUCCAAUAGCGUAUAUUAAAGUUGUUGCAGUUAAAAAGCUCGUAGUUGAACUUCGGGAUCAAUUAGUUGGUCAUGCCUUGGUAUGUACUGAUUUUAUUGGUUCUCACCUUCUAAAGACUAUAAUGUCAUUUAUUUGAUGUUAUAGGGAAUUAGGACUGUUACCUUGAAAAAUUGAGUGUUUAGAGCAGGCUCACGCUUGAAUACAUUAGCAUGGAAUAAUGAAAUAGGACAUCGCAUUCUAUUUUGUUGGUUUCUAGGAUCGAUGUAAUGAUUAAUAGGGAUAGUUGGGGCAUUAGUAUUCAAUUGUCAGAGGUGAAAUUCUUGGAUUUAUUGAACGACUAACUA
rnacentral:rRNA from 1 species